rnacentral:rRNA from 1 species
AGCAGCCGCGGUAAUUCCAGCUCCAAUAGCGUAUAUUAAAGUUGUUGCAGUUAAAAAGCUCGUAGUUGAAUUUCGGGACCAAUAUGUCUGUCGUGCCUUCGGUACGUACGGGUAUAAUUGGUUCCUACCUUCUGAUGAACCUUGAUGCCAUUAAUUUGGCGUCUUGGGGACUCAGGACUGUUACCUUGAAAAAAUUAGAGUGUUUAAAGCAGGCAUGCGCUUGAAUACAUUAGCAUGGAAUAAUGAAAUAGGACGUUCGAUUCUAUUUUGUUGGUUUCUAGGAUCGACGUAAUGAUUAAUAGGGAUAGUUGGGGGCAUUAGUAUUCAAUUGUCAGAGGUGAAAUUCUUGGAUUUAUUGAAGACUAACUACUGCGAAAGCAUUUGCCAAGGAUGUUUUCAUUAAUCAAGAACGAAAGUUAGGGGAUCGAAGACGAUCAGAUACCGUCGUAGUCUUAACCAUAAACUAUGCCGACUAGGGAUCGGAUGAUGUUAAUUUUUAAUGACUCAUUCGGCGCCUUAA